AUGCCAGGCUGGGGGAACCUGCACCCCCAGACCGGGACUCUCCUCUGGGCCCGGGUUCCCCACGCAGAGGAAAGUUGCCGCCCCGUCCCCCGGGGGAGAUGCUGGGCUGCAGCCUGGACAGCCUUCUCGGCGGCGGCGGCGGCGGCGGCGGCAGCGGCGGGCAGGAGGGGAGCCCCGGCUGGCUGCUGGCUGGCUCCCGCGCGCCCUUUCUGCUCCUUCCUCUCUGGCUCUUCCUUCCCCGGGGUCCUCGCCUUCCCGGAGUGUUGGAGCGAGACGGAGACCUCGGCCUUUGCCGGCGGAAGCGUCGCAGCCCUCAGUCAAGGCAGACAUCACUCAAGAGCACCGAGAACAUGGUCCUUCUCAGCAGAGUGCUCUCGACAGCCAGCCAGUACUAAUCUAUCCAGGUUUGCCAUGCUGGCGAAGCUGUUGCGUGGAAAACAAAUCCUCGAGGUGCAUCUGAGAGAAUCAAGGCCCAAGAAGGUGGACUUGCCCAAGACGUGGCAGGUAAGUGCAUCUGUGAACCUACAGCCAGCUUUGGGGAGGUGUUGGGGGUGCCUUCUCAUGUUUGGAACAUACUGAAGAAGCCCCAUUCAGGGCCUAGAUGGGCCUUUCGAAGGCAUCACCUUUCUCUCCUGCUCAUCUCCCAGGAGGCCCUUGACUUUGUCCUCUCUCAGAGGUGGCCGCGUUUGUGUUCCUUUGUCUGCCUGCCUCUGUUUUGGGGGGAACAUGGCAGACUCCAACCAGGAUUCUCCAGCCCCCAUGGAAGGAAGCAGACCCACGGCCGUGUUCUUCCCUGGGGCCUGGAACCGAGCACCCUCCUUGGAAAAGGAAUUUGGGGCCACGAGCCCCUAAGAGGUGCCGUCCUCUGGAAGCAAAACCUGGUUUCCCAUCUUGGACAGAGCUGUUCUGUCCAGAGAUGCCCCAGGUGCAAGAGGGUGGGUGGGGAGGCUGUGCUGCAUCAUGGACCUUAGGUGGGGGCGCUCAGAAGCUCUCUCUCUCCCUCUCCUGUUGGUUCCCCCAUGCAGGCUGGUGGCUGGGAAUGGAAAGGACCUGCCAGUGAGGCCUGAGCUGAGUUUAGGGCUAGGGGGCCAAAUGAGCAGUGAGGUUUGUUCCUGGGCUCCGGAGGGCAGCAGGCCCCGCUGAGACCCCAGCUGUGUGUCGUAUGGCGGAGGGGGAGGUGGCUGGGCUUCGGGCAGGGGCCUGCUUGCUGGGGGACCACCUCCCCAUGGAGAGCAGAGCAGCUGGAGGUCACUUGUGAGAGGCAGAGGUCCUCCCUGGUCUCCAUCCCUCUCUCAUCCCCUCCUCUAAUUUUAUUCUUGCCGUUUUGCUUAUGACACGGAUGCAGCGAAGGCAUCAUGUGACCGGGUUGGCCAGCCCCAAACAUGACCGCCCAAGCCCAGACCCGGAGACCCUUCCCCCGCCACGCAGGCCUGUCCCAAGGGCCCUGUGCCCCUGCUUGUGAAUUCUGGGCAUCUCAACACUGGCACGCUCCUCCGACCUGCUUACGCUGUUUAACAAAUGCAUUGGGGGACCAGCUCGGAGAUGAGGAUCGGAGGAGAGAAGGCAUCGUCUUUUCUCC
rnacentral:lncRNA from 1 species